CAGCCCUUCUUUUAUUAAACCCAACAGACUCAGCAAUCGCACUACUACUACUACUUUCUUCCAUUACCGACUUCCCUUUAUUCUCCUUAUUUGAACUACUGCUACUACUACGCCUUCUUGAACCGCUCAACGAACCGGGUCGUUCGAUAUUUUUGGUUUUUCUUGAAUAUGCGGCGAAGAGAAGACGACAGGGCUUGUGAGUGUGGGUAUGGAGAAAUGGGGGUUGUUUGAUUUUGAAGAGAUGAGAAAGGGAAAGCGGAGGUUUUGGGGUUAAAGGGGAAGUGAGAAGUGCGUGGUGAUUGGCGGAGGAGAACAAGCGGCGUAGGCUUG
rnacentral:misc_RNA from 1 species